UCUGCCCCUAGAGGCACUGUAGGUGUGGCUGCUGUGUCAUAUGAGCAUCAGUAGGUGGCAGAGAGGAGAGAGGCUGACUUAGUGUACUGACCUAUGAACAUCAGAAGGAUGUUCUUGAAAAA
rnacentral:snoRNA from 1 species